rnacentral:tRNA from 14 species
CGCGGGGUAGAGCAGUUCGGUAGCUCGUCGGGCUCAUAACCCGGAGGUCGCAGGUUCAAAUCCUGCCCCCGCAACCA